GAUGAACGCUGGCGGCGUGCCUAAUACAUGCAAGUCGAGCGAACAGACGAGGAGCUUGCUUCUUCGAUGUUAGCGGCGGACGGGUGAGUAACACGUAGAUAACCUACCUAUAAGACUGGGAUAACUUCGGGAAACCGUAGCUAAUACCGGAUAAUAUUUUGAACCGCAUGGUUCAAAAGUGAAAGAUGGUCUUGCUGUCACUUAUAGAUGGAUCUGCGCUGCAUUAGCUAGUUGGUAAGGUAACGGCUUACCAAGGCAACGAUACAUAGCCGACCUGAGAGGGUGAUCGGCCACACUGGAACUGAGACACGGUCCAGACUCCUACGGGAGGCAGCAGUAGGGAAUCUUCCGCAAUGGGCGAAAGCCUGACGGAGCAACGCCGCGUGAGUGAUGAAGGUCUUCGGAUCGUAAAACUCUGUUAUUAGGGAAGAACAUACGUGUAAGUAACUGUGCACAUCUUGACGGUACCUAAUCAGAAAGCCACGGCUAACUACGUG
rnacentral:rRNA from 1 species